AGCAGCAGCCGCCGCCGACUGAGGAGCCGCAGCCAGGGAGCCAGCCAGCGCCGCCCAGUGCCGAGUGCGCAGCGGCCGCGCACGGAAACAGCCGAGCUAGGCCCGGAGCAGCUCGAGCGGCCCCGCCCCCGCGCUGGGGACGGAACUUGCCGAAGACCUUCGGGUUUCUUCGGGCGACGAGAAGGGGUUCCGCGGGGAGAGGGAAGGCGAAGGCGGGCUGAGCCCGGCGCCGGGAGGAGUGGUCUAAACUCCACCGCGGCUUUCGCAUCGGAGACGUGUCUUUAGGAAGCAGAGAGGGUUCGAUUCUGGACUCCGCCCAUGACUCACUUCUCUUGUAAAGAAAGAGUUGUCCUUCCUGGUACUCCAGGUACCCUACUGUUUUCUUAUGGACUUUGCCCUUAACGAGUCUCCUUUCCUUCUGUUACUCUCAACCUUUCCUUCUCUACCGGCUCUUUCUUACUGGUAUUUAAACAUGCUUAAGUCUUUCAAUUCUUUAAAAAGAUUUCUCUUCUCCCUAAAUUGCUCUCCAACAACUGCAGCUGUCUCUUACCCCAUGGACAGUCUUUCAUGUCCCACCUCCCAGCCCUCUCCAGUGUCCCCACCGCUCACCUGAAGUGGCUCUGAAUUGUCCACAGACAAGCUUCAUGACUGUAAAUGCAGCGGAUCAUUUUCAGUCCUCAUUUUACAAGCCCUCAUCCCAGUAUUUGACGCGAUUGACCACAGUUGCUUCCAAAUACCCUCUUCCCUCUGGUCUUAUGUCCCAGGUUUCCUCCCUACCUGAGUUUGCUCUUUAACAACCAGCUCCUCCUUGAUCUACCUCUUACACAUUGGAAUCAUGCUGAGCUGAACCCUGGCCCUCUUACUGAGUCUCCCCAUACACUUUCCUAGGUGGUCUUAUGCUCUCCCAGCAGCAUCAAAUACCCUCUGUCAAAGACUCUUCAAUCCAUAACUCAAGCCUAGAUCUUGCUCUGGAAUCCUACAUUCAUAGUUCCCAGCAUACUGCCUUUGGUACACUUUCAUUUGGAUGACUUAGGGCAUUUCAAACUCAACCCGUAUAUCAUAAUUCCUUCAAAACGCUCCUCCCAUAGUCCCUGGUUCAGUAAAGGGUAUCUUAACAUCUACCCAGUUCAUGCCAGAAACCUAGCACACCUCCAACACACAGCAGAAUCACCUACAUCUGUCUGCUCCCUGGAAAAUUGGAUUUGUGACCUCUCUCUGUUCCCAUGACCAUUUUUUCAUUCCCAUUCUAGUCUAAACCACUGUUGCCUCUUGCUUGAAGUCCCACAGUAACCCAUUCAGGUCCUCCAAAACUGCUCUUGCCUCGUUCCAAUACAUUUGCCAUACUGCUGCCAGAGUAAUUUUUUAAAUAUAAAUCUGAUCAUUGACCUGCUUAAAUUCCUCCAGUGGUCUCCCUUUGCUUACCACACAUUGUCUAAGCUCCAUUAUCUGUACUUGUCUUUCUCUCCAGCCUCUCCAUCUGUCCCCCUAGCUGCCUGCACUCCUGCCAUAGUAUUUUAAUUUUUUCCAGGCUCUCCUCUUUUUAUUCCCUACUGUAGGCUCUCACUUCAGGGCAUUUACACAUGCCCUUCCCUUCCCCUGGAAUUUUUUUCUGUCACCCAUUCCUCCUACUUAACUGUAACUUAUCACUUUCUUUUCCAAUUCCUACUUCUCAUUAUUUGUUUAGUGUCCAUGUAAUUGUGCAGGUAAGGACCACGUCUGUCUUGUUCACUACCAGCUUUUCCUCUCCCUAGCAACAGCACAAUGUCUAGAAUAUAGUGGUACUUGUUAGGUAUUUAUCGAAUAAAUAGUGAAUUUCUGAGUGGUCCCGGGCAAAGUUUUCUCAACAUUUGAAUUCAAAUCCUGGCUCUCAGUGAGUUCAGGUUGCCGUAGUAAAGUACCAUAUAGACUGGUGGCUUAUAAACAACAGAAAUGUAUUUCUCAUAGCUCUGGAGGCUGGAUAUCUGAAAUCAGGCUGCCAACAUGGUCAGGUUCUGGUGAAGGCCCUCUUCAGGGUUGUAGAUGGCUGUUUUUUCCCUUUACCUCACAAUGCAGAAAGAGAGCAAGAGCUCUCGGGUUGCUUUUAUAAGGCACUAAUCCCAUUCACAAGGGGUUUACCUCCCAAAGGCCUCAUCUCCUAAUACCAUCACAUUGAGGGUGAAGAUUUCAAAAAUACGAAUUUGCAGGAGACAGGGGUGGGGGUGAAUUCAUUGCACUGGCUCAGCCACUUAUUAGCUAAUGACUUUGGGCAAAUUGUUCACUCUUGUGCCUCAGUUUUCCCAUCUGUAAAAUAAAGAUGAUAAUAGCACCUCAUAGUGUUAUUGUAAUGAUUACGUGACAUAAUACAUGUGAAGUAUACUUGGAACAAUGUUAGGAAAAAUGUUGCCUAUUACUAGCUUUUACUUGGAUAGCUUAUCCUCGUGUCAAAUACGUUUUCAAAAUUGAGUUCAUCUUCCUGCUCUUCUUACCGUGGCUCUAUACAUGAUAUCAAAAAACUUUGGAAUUAUUUACUCAUAACCUAUAAUUAUCACCCACCAAAUAUGGUGAGUUUUUAUUUAAAAAUGUCCUCAUAUUCAUUCUUCCUUUUUAUAUACACUAACCUUCAUUUAGACUCUAUUAUCAUUGAUUAUUUUGCUAACUUCCUAGGUGUCUUCUAACUGGAGGCUAGCUUUCCCUAUUCAUUUGGGCCCUUACUGUCAGACCAGUGGGCCUCAAACAAUUAUUAAAACAUAUAUUCUUCUUGACUUCUGCUCAAAUGACCUCCGUUCCCACCUAACUUUGUUCAUUCAUUUAUUCAAUCAUCCAUUCAUUCCAAUGCAAGUUAUUUUACUACUAACAUUUUGGGUAUACUCUAGAUUUUCAGCCUCUCUACUUUGACAUUUCUCUCUUGGAUAUUCUCUCUUCGGAUAUACUCUAGCAUUUUCAAUCUCACUAUCUGACAUUUCUCCUUUCAGCAUCCAAGUUUUGUCUCUGGGAUUUGGAAGCCACCUGCAUUUUAAAAGAAAUUUUUUCCAGGAUCAGUCUCUCGCUGUGUUGCUCAGGCUGAAGUGCAGUGGCUGUACACAGGAGCGGUCAUCGCAUGUGACAGCCCCACACCCCUGGGCUCAAGUGACUCUCUUGCCCUCAGCCUCCUGAGUAGCUGGGACUACAGGUUUAUGGGAUGCAGGAUAAUGGAGCAUGCUCUAUCUGGGACAUUGCUAGUCUUAUGACAGAGGGAGAAGACAGCGAUGAGUUUUCGAAGAACUCCAGGAAGUGGCUGCAGAGCAAAGUAGGAUCCUGAUACUGAGCUCAAGUGAUUCAGAAUGAAAAGACCUUGGCACAGACCUGUUAAGGAAGCUCCAUAUAAGGUGAAGAAAACAACAUGCUCAGCCAUGUCCUUGCCUUCUGCACACGGUAGUGCAUUCACUGCCUGAGAAUUCAAGGCUAAAACAAAAAGAGGAGCUUUUGUUCCAACAGAUAAGUACUUACCUUUUUCAAAAAAUGCAUAAGCUGUCCUGGGUGUUUAGCAGUUAUUCGCACAGCUUUCCAAAGACUCACAGCAUUUAAAAGCUAACUCUACAGAGAUUCAACAGCUUCUUCCAGAUCCCACCACAGUGGAAAAGAACUCCGGUGUCCUGGCUCCCUGUCCAGCUCUUCUCUCUCCCCUUCCAGCUGCCAGUUCAGCUUUAAGAAGUUCAUUCUCCACAUUCAGAUGCAGGCAAAUGCGUUUGACUUGAGCAUAUUGAUUUCAGGCAGGUGAGAGUGGAUGUAGCGAUUCAGCUUGACAAAUAUUUAGAUCAGUUAAGUGUCCUUUAUAAAGAAGCACUUGAACUCAGUGUUUCCUUUACCCGACCAUUUCACUCCACAAGCUACCUCCCCAGCAUAAAAUAUUCAAAUUAUUUCUAAAUUUCAUCUACUGAAAAAAUACUUCUAGGCCCUAUAGCUACAUGAUAUCUCCACUGGGAGCCCUGUCCUUUCCAUGCCCUGGGAAAACCCGAUCUAAAGCAGAUUUAAAUGACUCAGCAGUAGGACUCAGGUCUCUGUCUCUGCCUGCUUACUUGGGGAGUGCUCCAGCCUUAGGGGCUCUCUUGCACUCCAACAUAGGAAAGAAAUUAUCGAUGGCUCCAUUCCCCAGCAUUUGAGACUUUUCUUCCCACAGACACAUUCCUGAGGACACCAGUCAUGGGUAAAGAACUCCACUGGGGUCAGCGUUGGAUCCCACUAGGCAGUUUAGGACUUGUAAGUAGAGUAGUGUGGACUUGGUGUUCCCAGAGCCUCUCACUCAUGAUUCAUGGCUCUCCACCCCAAGCAUCGGAACUUGCCCAACUUCACCACAGAAGGAAACAGACUGGCCACCGGGGUUGGCUGAGUCAGAAUACCAGCCAUGUGGCAUGUCGCAUGGGGCAAGAGCUGUGCUGCCCAUGGGAGUCCAGAGAAGGAGCACACUAAGGACCAACACCAGCAUUUGCUCUAGGGGAAGCCUGCAGCUAUGUCAUGAGGACCCUCAACAGCCCUGUGCAGAGGACUAUGUGGCAUGAAAGAUACCUUCUGCCAACAACCAGCCCCAACUUGCCAAGCAUGUGAACAAGCUAAACUGAAAGCAGAUCUUCAGCCCCAAUCAAGCCUUCAGAUGACAGUAACCUCAGCCAAUAUACUGACUAUAACCUCAUAAAAGACCCUGAACCAGAACCCUCUAAGCCACUCUCAAACUCUACCCCACAUAAACUGUGAAAUAAUAUAUGUUUAUUGUUAUUUUGGGCCACUAAGUUUAGGGGUAAUUUGUUAUGCAGCAAUUAUAUAACCAAUAUUCCAACUAAAGCUGAAAUGCCUCCUGCAUUUCCUCCCUCAGUGGCCUACACUACAAUCCAAGUUCAGGAAAAAACGAGAACCUUAUUUAAGGUAGUGGCAAGAAAUGAAUGGAUUAACUGGACAUUUAAAAAGUAUUUGAUAGAACUUGGUGAUAGGAGGUGGGGCAGUUAGGGACUAGCAGGAAUUUAGGAUGAGAGGCUCAUUCAGUUGGGCUUAUGUUUUACUGAGGUCAAUUCCAAAAGGAAGGAAAGAAAAAUCCAGCCAAAUAACCUUUAAUGGACUAAGUCUUCUUUCAUAAGUCAGUUUGCACAACUUCUUCACAGGAAUCAGAUUUUAAAUAUCAUAACUGAAGAGAAAAAAAACAGCAAGAGGAGUUUACCUUUAUGGUGGAAUGACACUAAUCUUUCAUGCUUUCAAAUUUCUUGAAAUUUCCUUCGUAUGCAUUAUCUUAUUUGCUGUUCACAGUAAAACUGUGUAUUGGCUAAGCCAGUUUUUAUGAAAAUAUAAGCAGUGAGAAAAAGUAAGAUAGUAUGUCAGUUAGUAGAUUUUUUUAUGGACAUUGUGACAGAGGACACAACUUAAACUGGCUUUUUUUUUUUUUUUUUUUUUUUUGAGACAGAGUUUUGCUCUUGUUGCCCAGGCUGGAGUGCAAUGGCACGAUCUCGGCUCACUGCAACCUCCGCCCCCUGGGUUCAAGUGAUUCUCCUGCCUCAGCCUCCCGAGUAGCUGGAAACACAGGUGCCUGCCACCGCGUCCGGCUAAUUUUUUGUAUUUUUAGUAGAGAUGGAGUUUCACCAUGUUGGCCAGGCUAGUCUCAAACUCCUGACCUCAGGUGAUCCACCUGCCUCAGCCUCCCAAACUGCUGGGAUUACAGGUGUGAGCCACCGCACCUGGCAAAAGGGUUUUGUUUCUAAAGGUACAAGAACAGGUACAGCUUCGGGUCAGUGUGAUUCAGCCCUCAACAAAGCCACCAGGAUCCAUUUCUUGGCUCUGCUUCAUUGCUUCUCAUAGGCUGGCUCAUUCUCAGACUGUACGUGAUAUGGUUCAGUGGCUUUAGGCUCCAAGCAUGACAACACCCAACACUCAGAUUGAUGGAGCUAGAGCAAGUCUCUUCAGGCAGCGUCUAGGAAAGUUCUGAAAUUCACUCUGAUUGGCUGCCCAUCUCUGAAUCAACCACGUAACCCAAGGAAAUAGGAACUGCUGAUGGGUCAGGGUCGGUUCACAUGCUUCAUACCUGGAGCUGAGAAGACAUCAACUCCAUCCUGGAGCUCAUGGGCUGUGACUAGAGCAGACGGAGUUCUCAGAGGAAAGUCAGAGUACAGUUAUCAAAGCAAGCAGUUACAGAUGCUAGAUGACCAAAAUCCAAUAACUGCCCAGUAAAAAUAUUAUACUAAAAUCUAGGAACAUGUGGCUGAUGGACAGUCAUUACCAGGAAAAAAAAGUUGUUAGGUCUAAAUGUAAAAAUUGAGGCAAAGAAAGUGCCCGAGCUAGAAUUAGAACCCUGACUACCUGAAUAUUAGAUCGGUUAGUGCCACUUCUACCCUACCGCUGCUGAGGGGGGAGGUGAACAGUCUCUCAGGUUGCAGACAGUGGAUGGUUUCCCUCCCUCUAUCUUCUCAUUUCAUGGUGGAGCUGAAUCAUCCUAUGUUCUACAUGCUGACAGUGGAAGGUUAUGACCAUACCCAUAUCCUGUUGUCUCUGAGUCUCCUGUGGUGCAGAGAUCCCUGAGACUUGUAGAACAGAACCUGAGUGGAAAGUGGGAGGGGGAUUGGGGGUGGUUCCCACGAAUCAAGCAGCAACCUGGAGACAAGGAACACCUGCAACCUCAGCAGUGGAUCAGAACGGCUGACUGAGCAAUGGACAUACUGUGCAUCUUUCAUUAGUGCUGAGACCAACUUCUAGCUUGGAGUCCCAUGAAAGGGAAACUUAGCCCUAACACCACAACAAGGAGCACAGUGUCAAGUGGGGACAUUGCAGCAGAGUUGCCGCAAAGACUCUGAAGUGCUAUGGGAAGGGAUAUUUCCUAGGAGGGGUUAAAGGGAUUCUCCUUAAGAAGGGGGCUGGGGGAAUCUGAGUAAGAGGUGGGGGAAAGCAGCCAAAGCAUGAUACUUAGUCAUAGCAUCACAAGAAUUUGACUCAGAGUUCCUACAAGGUUGUCCUAAAAUGCCCUGGUUCAGGUGGGUCAGCUUUGAAAGCACCCAAAUUACCCCGUUUUCUGUACUAUGUUUAAAGGCAAUUUGAAAGAAAGACCCCUAAUUUGGAAACAUGUGCUAAGGCUAAAUCACUUUUUCAACUGAAAAUUCUUUUUUAUGUAUUGUUACACUCCAUUUUCUGUCUUGUGUUUUUUGUUGUUGUUGUUAUUUGUUUCUUUUUUCUUUUUCUUUCUUUUUUUUUUUUUUUUGAGACAGAGUCUCGCUCUGUCCCCAGGCUAGAGUGUAGUGGCGCGAUCUAGGCUCACUGCCACCUCUGCCUCCCAGGUUCAAGCAAUUCUCUUGCCUCAGCCUCCUGAGUAGCUGGGAUUAUAGGCGCCCACCACCACACCCAGCGACUUUUUGUAUUUUUAGUAGAGAUGGGGUUUCGUCAUGUUGGCCAGGCUGCUCUUGAACUCCUGACCUCAGGUGAUCUGCCUCCCUCGGCCUCCCAAAGUGCUGGGAUUACAGGCGUGAGCCACCGCACCCCAGCCCAUUUCCUGAAUUUCAGGGGGAGUGAAUUAAUUCUAAUAUAGAGAGUGGGUAAAAGGACCAAUUUUUUCAUUACUAUUUGACUUCAUAUCAUCUUGCUUUGCAAUGCCCUGGUUUUUACAUCUAUAAAUCAGAAAUGAUAAGCAACCUGCUUUAUAGGAAUGCAAUGAAGAUAAGGAGAUACAAUAUAAAAAUAUACAUUGAGUCAGAAAGACAGAUAACACUAUUUAAACCAGUGUAUUCUUAUAAUCCUCAUUAUUACUAAGAAUGAUGUUAACAGUUAUGAUAAAAAGUCAACAUGCAGAAAGAAGAGAAUAAAGUAAUUUCUAGUUUGGGCCAAGAUGUACUCUGUAGACAUGAAUUUUUAAAAGAUGAGUGGUUAACACUUAGCAUUUGAUUCUGUGCUUGUUAUAAGUGAGCAACUGAGAAUUUCUAUCUUUUGGAGAGAGAGAGAGAGAGAGAGAGAGAGUGUGUGUGUGUGUGUGUGUGUGUGUGUGUGUGUGUGUGUUAUACAGGGAACAAGCAUUAUUUUGCAUUUGAGGUCAAAACUGGAGAAAUCAGGGAGACGUCAAGUUUUGUUCAUUAACUUUCAUACCUUUCUAACAACAGCCCCCAGAUUAAACCAAUCUUCUACUGUCAAAUUUGGGGACAUUUUCUUUAGUGGAUGGUCAUAAAUCUUGAGGGGAAUAUUGCUCACUUCUUUUAAGAAUUAAUGGUGAUUCCUAGGUGGGAGUAUGGAGUCAUGUAUCAUACCCUGAAGCAUUAUGUUUUUCCCAGCAGAGAUGCUCAAUAGAAGUCUGGAAGCUUUUGCGGCUGCCAGCAAUUUCAUGGUUACUGUCCGAAGCAGAAAGGGCACAUCAUCAAAUUCUUCCUUCUAAUGCAAUUUUGCCUUCCUGGAAUUUGUACUAUUUUUCUUACAUGGAUAGGGAAUUUUUUUUGAGAGUGCACAGUCAUGUUAAAGUAAAUACCCUGGAGAAAUACUUUCAAUUAAAAUUCAGAAGUUUUAAAAUCCAGGCUAGAAAGGAUUUCCCUGACCUACAAAACCUAAUAAGAUAUUUUUUCUUUCCAUUUUCUCCCUCCUCAUUCCCCUAAGUGUGUGGAGCUGUCCUGCUUUCUUACCUGGUGGCCCCAUUUAGCUUUGCCUUCUAGACAUUUAAGUCAGAAAAUGGCUUUAAAGAAUGUUUUGAGAAAACUUGACAUACUGAUCUACUCUCAACUCAAUGAUUUUCUUUUUUUUGAGUGGAAAAGAGAAAGAAACCACAGAAGCAAAGCAAUAAUAAAAUCUUUUAGUCAAGUAAGAAAAAUUUGACCAGGAGAUACAGAGAUAGUAUUUGUGGUGAUUGAGGCAGUUAAUACCAGAAAAGUUUAGAAAGCAGAGAUUUUGAGGCCCGAAGGGAGGGGAGUCAAACAGGCAGCAAGUCGACGUGGAGCAAGAUAGUCUUAUGUUGGAGAGUGGCCCUCUCCUCUGUGGGGCCUGGGCCUGGCAUUUCAUCUCUCGGUUGGGCUAUGAAUGCCUAGGUUGCAGAAUUUCUUAGUGAGUUUUGCACAUUAUAUAUGCAACACACCUAUGCAAUAUGAGUACAGUGCCUCAAACCUAGGUACUCAGUUAUUUAGAGUUACCAUUGUAAAAUAUUAAAUGCCUGGGUAUGAAAGAAUGAAAAUCUCUUCCUCUCUCAAUGUGUUCUCGGGAUUAUGGCUUUAAAAAAUAGCUGUUCAACUAAAACUAAUUAAAACUUCCAGGUUAGAACCUAGAAGCAGACAUACAACGACUAAAAUGAGUGCAAGAGGAUAAUGGUGUCCAUUAGAGAUUAUUCUUACUCAGAGGCAGGGCUAGGACUAGGGAGAGGCAAGAGAAGCAUCCAGGGUGAACACUUAAGAGGCACCCAGCUUCAGGGCCUGCAGGCACUAAGCCUGAGCUUGCACAACACUGAGAGUGCGACUCCAUGCCCUACCCUAGGCCCUGUCCUGUUCAAAGGACAUCCUACCUGGCUCAUUGGCAGGAUAUCUUGCCCCGUCCCCAAUGGUUUCUUUCACACUCGCAAUACCUGGAGACAAAACAGCCACCAUUGUCAGACUUCUUUGACUUUCCAAACAAACUCCAGAAAGAUCAUUACAGGACCCAGCAUGAGAAGGGAAACCGAGGUGCAUUGAAAGCAAUAAAAUUUAACCGCAGAGAUGAUUUCAUGUUCAAUCAUCAAAAUACACAGAGGGACUUGCUAAAAUGUCCACCGUUGAGGGUAACAACCCAUGACCUUAUUCUUUCUCACACCAGCCUUAGUAUAUAUAAAUGCUAAGAAUAGCAAACAGGAUCUUUUUUAUUGGCUUUUCAAGAACAACAUUGGGGCCUGGAAGACACCAGUCACCUUCAAAAACAAGCAACAAUAGGAAGCUUGAAGCUGUUGGUGCACAGCUUUCAACAUACACACUUUUUAAAAAAUAAUUUCAACUUAAAAAUUUUAGAUUUAGGAGGUACAUGUGUGGGUUUGUUACAUGGGUAUAUUGCAUGAUGCUGAGGUUUGCGGUACGAUUGAUCCCAUCACCCAGGUACUGAGCAUAGUUGCCAAUUGGUGGUUGUUUUUAACCCUUGUUCCACUCCCUUCCUCUCCAUUCGAGUAGUCCCUACUGACUAUUGUUGCCCUCUUUAGUCUAUGAGCAGCCAAUGUUUAGCUCCCCCUUAUAAGUGAGAACAUGUGGUAUUUGGUUUUCUGUUCCUGCAUUAACUUGCUUAGGAUAGUGGCCUCCAGCAGCAUCUAUGUUGUUGUAAAAGACAUGAUUGCAUUCUUUUUAUGGCUGUAUAGUAUUUCACAGUGAACAUAUUUUUCUUAGACAUUGUUUUCAAAACAUUUCAUUGCUUGAUUUGCUCAACCCCAUUCUCCAUCUAAAUCAUUUGUAAACAUAGCCUGAUAAUUACUUUGGAUUAAUUGGUAUUAUUUGAUAAAAUCAUACAAAGCUAGAUUUUUGAGAAUGGUAAUAUGUUAGGAAUGUGUUUGGCUAUGAGUAACAGAAAACCCAACUACAUGACUUUUAGCAUAGGGGUUUAUUUUUCUUAUGUAACAAGAUAUCCAGACUCAGGCAGUUUCUGGUAUAGGUUCAGUUCCUUAGUUCUCUGGGUCAUUCUCUCAUAAUAAUGACAUGGCUGGGUAGCUCCAACUACUGAGGCAGUAUAUAAGGCAGAGAGAAGGAGGGGCAGUGGAAGGAAGGCACACCAUGGUUGUCCCCUUUUACAAAGAAAGCAAAAGCUUCCCCAGCAACCCAUACCAGCCCCCCUCAUUAUGGGUUGAGUGUUGUCCUCUCCAAAGCCAGAUAUGUUUUUCCCAACCUCCAGUACCUCUGAAUCAGCAUAGUUUUUGUUCUUUGUGAAUCUGAACUUACUUGGAGAUAGGUCUUUACAGAGGUAAUCAAAUUAAAAGGGUGACGGUCAUUGGGGUGGACCCUAACCCAAUAUAAAAAAGGGAAAUGUGGACACAGAGACAUGCAUACUAGGAGAGAACCAUGUGAAUGAGAAGCAUGCAUCUACAAGCCAGGGAGAGAGGCCUGGAGUAGAUCCUUCCCUCAGAGCCAAGCUUACAAACAUCUUGAUUUCAGACUUCUAGCCUCCAGAACUAUGGGACAAUACAUUGCCUUUCCAGAAGCCACCCAGGUUUUGGUACUUUGCAAUGGCAGCCCCAGAAAACUAAUGCAUACCAGAAGACUUGUUUUCAUACAUUAUUAGCCAGAACUGUGCCCCUGGCUUCCCUGACUACAAGGGAGGCCAGGCAAGUAUAUAUUUAACUGAACAUAUUUCAAUCAGAGCAUUAGGAUUCUGGUAGCAAAGAAAAAAAGUGGGGGAAGGGCGUAAAUAAUCAAGAGCAUUUUCCACCAGGGAGAAAACGCUUGCACUUAAUGAGUGGCCACAGGAUGGGUAGCUCUCCCUCCAACACUAAUCAGAUUUGAAGUAACAGCAUGUUGGGGAUAAAGUUAGGCAGUAGAAAGAGUGCAAGGGGUUUGGGGACUAGCACUCACUUUGCCGCAACUUCCUACGUGGUUUCACACAAGUUGCUUUAACCUCCAAGCCUCAGCUUUUUUAAUCUGAUAAAUGGGAUUAAUAAUCUAUGCUCUUAGCAUUUUAAUAGAGCUUUUUUUUUUUUUUUUUUUUUUUUUUCCAGACGGAGUCUCACUCUGUCACCAGGCUGGAGUGCAGUGGCACGAUCUCGGCUCACUGCAACCUCCACCUCCUGGAUUCAAGCAGUUCUCCUGCCUCAGCCUCCCGAGUAGCUGAGACUACAGGCACGCAUCACCAUACCCAGCUAAUUUUUGUAUUUUUAGUAGAGACGGGGUUUCAUCAUGUUAGCCACGACAGUCUCGAUCUCUUGACCUCGUAAUCCACCUGCCUUGGCCUCUCAAAGUGCUGGGAUUACAGAUGUGAGCCACCGUGCCCGGCCAAUUUUUAUUAUUUUUGGUUUUUUUUUUUUUUUUUUUUUUUUUUUUUGAGAUGGAGUCUCACUCUGUUGCCCAGGCUGGAGUGCAGUGGCACAGUCUUGGCUCACUGCAACCUCCGCCUCCCAGGUUCAAGUGAUUCUCCUGCCUCAGCCUCAUGAGUAGCUGGGACUAUAUGUGCCUGCCACCACGCCCAGCUAAUUUUUGUAUUUUUAGUAGAGAUGGGGUUUCACCAUAUUGGCCAGGCUGGUCUCAAACUCCUGACGUUGUGAUCCUCCCACCUUGGCUUCCAAAAGUGCUGGGAUUACAGGAGGGCAGUUUUUAAAAGGGUUUAUCAUUCUAGUGUUGUCUAUCUACACUGCCCUCUGAGAUCUGAUGGGGUAAAGCAAAGGAUACCAACUAAGCUUGCAGGCUUUGGAGUCACCUCACCUGUUCCUAUCACUUAGAUGUUGUGUGGUCCAGGAUCAGUUACUUAACAUCUCUGUGCCACAGUUUUCUUAUAUGUGUAUAAUAGGUAUAUGAUUAGUAGCUAAAUGAGACAGUUGUGAGCAUGAAAUAAUAUAUGUAAAGCAUUCAGAACAGUGCCUGGCACAUAGCAAACUUUAUAUAUGUUAGCUGUUAUUAUCAGGCCUAUCCAAUUUAUAAGUGAUAUGGAAUCGAGAAGGAUAGCAAAUGUUUUAGACCAUAAAAUCAAGAAUCUAAAAAAGAUUUUGACAGAAAGGAAAUGAGCCAAAUAUAAAAAGAUGAAGUUUAAUAAGUACACAUAAAGGUCCUGUCUUGGGGUAAAAUAGCAAGAAUGAGGGAGGCCUAUAGGUUUUUAGUUUAUUAUAAAUUUAAUAUAAGUUAACCAUGAGAUGCACUUACAAAACAAAAUUAGAUUUAGGUUGCCUUGAUAGAAACACAGUAUUGGAAACAAAGGAAAAUAGAACCCAACUCUGUCUCUGCACUGGUUGGACCACACUUGAAAUAAUAGAUUUCCUUCUAGUAUUCCUCACAGCAGCCCCUGAAAAUUGAUAAUUGCCUUCACGUUCUUUAAGGGCUGGUAUAUGAAAAAGAAAAGAGAUGUAUUUUGGGGAUGCUACAGAAGACAGAACAUCCCCAAUAUGAAUAAAGUAGAGGUCUGCUGGACUACAGCUCAGUCUUAGAUGACUAUGAGCCACCUGGAAAUGGAAUGGCCUCCUUCAGGUGGGUUGCAUGGGGGCCCCUGCUCACCUAAAUGCUUAAGCCAUAGCUGGUGGGAUAAUUCGUGGUGAAGGAUGUUGCCAAGCAGACCAACAAGUAGGCAUCCCUACUGCUUUGAGGAAGGGGUAGGUACUCCCACAGAAGUCACAUGUUGGUUGCCCAUUGGCCAAAUUUGGUCUGCUAUUGUGUAGUUUUUGUUCUAUGUGAAAUAUUUUUUUUUUCUUGUAUAUCUGGAUUCCUUGUCAAAAUUUAAAAAUCAGGAGAUUUCACACAAAAAAAAUUCUUUUUCUUUUUUUUUGCUUUCUUUGAAAGAUAAGAUGAUCUAGCAGCACAUGGUGGAUCUGUAUUGUCACAGAUGGCUGGAGUUGAGCAGUAGCCAUCACCUUUAAAUGGAAUGUGCGUCCUCCAAUUAUCCAACAUCCUCACCUGGCCCACCUUACUCAUUGAGGUUACCUGUCUGGUCCAUAAGCAUUUGAGUUUGUGAUUCACAUGCCGGUCUCUAGGGGCUUCCCUUACCCUGAGGGUCUAGACAUUUCCUUAGUUUUGUCCUGCAAACAUUAGGAGAAAUUAGUUAAAUCUGUGGAAGUGUGGGUAAAAUUCAGAUACAUGUAGAGACUGGGGAUGUGUUACAGAAUAACUGCAAGUUUUAGAAAACACUGACAUAGCAAAUGUUUAAAGCUAAGUCUACAUUAAGGAGCAAAAAACAUUAAAAAAUUUUAUUUGAAUUUUGGUUGCAAUCUACAUGUUCUAAAUAUAUAUGGUUCUUGCUGAUAUCUCCCUAAUCUUUGAACCCGUUCCAUUCUUCAUAAGUCAUCAUGGAUCCUUGCAUUGUAUUUAUUGAUGGAUGGAUGGACAAAUGGAUAGAAAUCAUGCAGGAAGGAUGGAGAACAUAGAGAAAAAUGUAACCAAAUGAGUACUAUUGUUUCUUUCUGUGACAUAUGAUCAUGUAAUAAGUGUGUAUUAAGUAUUCUGUGUCAAGCAUGGUGCCAGGUUUUAGGGGAUGCAAAAAAGGAGUAAAAAACACAGACAUGUUCUGAGGACCUUGUUACUUUUGCCCUUAUUGUUAGUUUCAGCUUAAAAGUUAGGACUCUAAAAUUUGAAAUCCAGGCUCAUUGGGUUCAAAUCCAGGCUGUACUCCUUCUGUGCUCUGUAAUUUUGAGCAAUUUACUUAACCGCUUAAUAAAAUAAGGAUGAUGCCAAUAAUAUCUAUUUCCUGAUGUUGUUUGGAGGAUUAAAUGAGAGAAUCAUGUAAGAGCAUUUAGUACAGCACUCAGCACUUAGUGAGCAUUCAAUAAAUUAUUCUAAACUAGCUUCCUUCAAUACCUGCAGAAGGAACAUCAAAAUGAGAAAAGAAGGUUCAUUUGUGUGGACACACAGACACACACACACACACACACACACCCUCACUCAAAACUGGUCUUACUUUCACACUUCUUUUCCCUUUCCUCCUUCUCCCCUUUAUCUGCUGCCUCCUCCACCUCUUUUCUCUAUGACUUCAAAGUUAAUUUUUUUAACAAUUUAUCAUCAACUUUUUAAACAUAUAGCAAUGUUGAAAAUUUUUUCCAGUAAAUAACCAUAAAUAGGUGAGAUUCUGUGCUCUAGGGGCAUUGAUUCACACUAAGCAAAGUUACAAGGAGCUAGAAUAACAAUGUAUAUCUACUAUAUUUCUUUCUCCCUUAUCCUCUGGUAUUUGACUUCUGUCUUUUAUUUAAUACUUUUUUUUUGUAUUGUAGUUCCUGUAUUUUAUUGUAUUUGUUCAUACUUCCUCUCUGGAAUAAAAGAAAUAAGAAACAAGUAUGUAAAUAAAUAAAAAUAGAUACUAUGUGUUUACAAAGGGAAAUCUCAUAUAAGUCAGUUCAUUCAAAAGAGGAAAUCACAGAUCAGAAGGUUGCUAUGGUAAAG
rnacentral:lncRNA from 1 species